GGGGUCCUGGAAGGUUUACGUGGACGGCGUACAGCGGGCGCGCGGGGCCGGGCUGGCCACGGGACACUACGUGCCGCACGGGGGAACCUACGUCCUGGGACAAGACCAGGACAGGCAGGGCGGAGGAUUCGAUGCCAGUCAGGCGUACGUGGGAGACUUAGCGGAGUUCCACCUCUGGGACAACGAGCUGGACGACUCCCGCGACAUCCAGCGCGUCCAGGACCGGACCCUUUACGGCAACGUCAUCAACUGGCGAGACGUCGACGUGCAGACCUUCGGCAGCGUCGACACAACGCCAUACCUCAUAGAAAUCUCAGAAACAAGACCUGACGGAGCGAGACCCACGACUGAAGAAGACUCAAGGCUGACACCGGGAAGGCCUAGACCAGGGGAAGAGCGACCAGGCACCGGACUUACACCUGAGAGACCAAGACCAUCCGGCGGCGAGCGACCAG